GUACAGAAACACUAUUCGAGCACUUCAGGAAUGCCUCCAGGAUCAAAGCGAUCAAGAUUCCCGGAGUGUUCGGCAGCUGCCAGGAGAGCUGAGAGCUCAGAGGCCAGGGGAAUCUCCAGGCUUGCAGAGUGGUUGCGAUGCUGGAGCAGUGUGGGGAGACAGAGACUGGCAGCUCGCAGGCAUUCAGAAACAAGUGCAACAAUCUCAGCUUGAGUCCUGUAUGGGAAACGCACCGGACACACUUGGAUCUGCUGUACAAUGUCCCAGCGCCCUUAAAUUCGCUUCCUACUUGCCACUAUACUCAAGCAGCUUGUGUUGAAUUAUCUUUAGAUGUUAGUCUGAAGGCCCCUUAGAAAUGAAUGUAAUUUCAGUCAAAAAUCUUUUUUUCUUAUGUGCAGCUUUCUGAAAAACACUGCAAAAUUAUAUUUAAAGAAAAAUUACUAUCUGAGCCAGCUUGGCUAUUAUUAGAAAUGAUUAUUCUAAUAGAUCCUCAAAUAUUUCUGGACUUGUAACUGGAUAGGGGGGCAGGUUUGAAUCCCAGUGGAGAUAUUGCCUCAGCCAGAUAAAUAAGUAGUUAAUUAAUCAUUCUAAAAUGAUUCGCUUCUUAAGGAGUCAGUAAGAGCUUAACUUCAUUGCAAGUUUUUGCCGUAGCUCUUUGGUCUUCAAAGAUUACAGAAUACGAAUGAAUCAGUCAAUGUGAGGACUGGAUUUUCUAAAACCCCCAGUCUGCAGUCUGCAGGAAUUCCAUGUGGGUGUUCCGUUACAGAGUGUUACUUGCAUGAACCACAUUCUGAUUGAGUCUUGUCUCAGCGCCUACUACACACAGAAAUCGCAGAGGAAUCAAGGAAAAUAGAAAAUGUAAAAAACCCAAAUUGUGAUCUAAACAGGAAACUAAAUUACAGUGUUUCAGCAACCUGUGGGCAAAAGGUCAGUGGAGAUUGCUGGUGAUUACCCUGUGGUGUGUGCUGCAGACAUGUGUGUCAGUCUUAAUAGUGUCUUUCAGGAACAGGCCACAGCUACCUCCCUCCAGGUCCUGGCCACACCCUGCGCUGCUCAGUACCCUGCCUUCACCUCUGGAGACUCUCCCUCACCCACAGGUCACUCUGGGCUGAAAAACACUGUUUGCAGCAAACACAAAACUACAACAACUGGUUGUGGUCGACAGACCACAGAAAAAACGCAGGAAGAACUCGGCAGUUUCCUGCUGAAGUUUUCUCUCUCGAUGUACCUCGGCGCUGGCUCGGGUGCGCUGACAUGUCGCAUGUGUGCCAGUGUGCAGGCACAGGCCCCCGGUACGGGUGAAUCUGCUGACCCGGGAGCUCGUGGGGUCCUUGUGCCUCGGCUGGCCGGCAGCGCGUGUCCCCGCUCGGCCGCAGUGCCCACGUUCUCAGCGUGAGGUCCCCCUGGGUGCGAGGGCCCCACACCGGACCCGCAGGCAGAGAGCGCUGCACCUUUUCAACAAGACGAUCUCUUGUCACAGCCCCAGGAACAGAGAGCGAGCCUCCCAAAUUACAGUAUUGUCUUUUAAGUCGGUAAAUCUCUAAUAAUAAUGUUUCAUAAUUGUACAUGUUGUUACUAAUUGUUAUUGCUUUGGCAACAUUGUAAUUCAUCGGUCCUGCCAAUAAAGAUCGCUGGAUUUGAAUCUGAGCCCCAGAAAAUAAGGGCCCACACUGUUCCAAAGUUUUUUUUUUUCAUUUUGGAUUAUUUGAGAAGUGUAUGGUUUUGUUAAUUAAAUCUUUACUUUGUGUUAUGCUUUAUGCUCCCCAGCUAGUCUGUAAGAGGUACACUGUUAAAUAUUCCCAAGAACAAUCAAAGAAAUAAACGAUAGGUAUCAAGUAAUCCUAAACUCAAGGCCAUCUAUUCUUUCACACACAGUAGCUCUGAUUUGUUCUUUCAAACAUGAAAUAAUGAAAGGUUUUCUUGAGAGCUGUCUGGUUCAAGUCCCUCCCCCUUAUCAACACAUUCAUGGGAGGAAUGCUUUAUUUUGCUGGCUAAUACAUGAUAAAGGAAAGAUUGGCCUCCUCUUCUGCGCACAAUGCGAAUUUUAGCAUGUUGCUAGGAAAGUGUUUCAAACUGUCUGAAGUACGGAAUGGAUGGGAAUGCGAGCCUGUGCUCCAACAGUCACAGCCCGACCACGACAAGAG
ensembl:lincRNA